UGUUCUUCCUACAUCUCACAAUACAAGCUUCUCUCUGUAUCUCCUAUGAGAAUGGUGUAACCAUGACCAGCAGGCCUGUAUACACUAUGUCCAACAUUCACAGUGUAGAGGGAUUGUAGUUACUGAAACACAGCUCAUUUUCUUACGGA